GUGUCAGCCGCCGCGGUAAUACAGAGGUCCCAAGCGUUGUUCGGAUUCACUGGGCGUAAAGGGUGCGUAGGUGGUGAGGUAAGUCUGAUGUGAAAUCUCCGAGCUCAACUCGGAAAUGGCAUUGGAAACUACUUGGCUAGAGGAGUGGAGGGGGGACUGGAAUUCUCGGUGUAGCAGUGAAAUGCGUAGAGAUCGAGAGGAACACCAGUGGCGAAGGCGAGUCCCUGGACACUUCCUGACGCUGAGGCACGAAAGCUAGGGGAGCAAACAGGAUUAGAAACCCGAGUAGUCC
rnacentral:rRNA from 1 species